UGGUGUUGUGAAAUGUCUGGUUGAUUCCGUUAACGAACGAGACCUUAACCUGCUAAAUAGUCACGCGAACCUUCUGACAUGACGUGAAGCGGCCUGCGCGCCGUGCCUACGGGCGCUGCCGCGGGUUGUGAAUCGUCUGAUGUGUUCGUGGCAGUACUUCUUAGAGGGACUAUUCGUUUCUAGCGAAUGGAAGUUUGAGGCAAUAACA
rnacentral:rRNA from 1 species